rnacentral:rRNA from 1 species
CUAAGCCUACGGGGCGCAGCAGUAGGGAAUCUUCCACAAUGGACGAAAGUCUGAUGGAGCAACGCCGCGUGAGUGAAGAAGGGUUUCGGCUCGUAAAGCUCUGUUGGUAGUGAAGAAAGAUAGAGGGAGUAACUGGCCUUUAUUUGACGGUAAUUACUUAGAAAGUCACGGCUAACUACGUGCCAGCAGCCGCGGUAAUACGGAGGUGGCAAGCGUUGUCCGGAUUUAUUGGGCGUAAAGCGAGUGCAGGCGGUUUAAUAAGUCUGAUGUGAAAGCCUUCGGCUCAACCGGAGAAUUGCA